UGGGGAAUCUUAGACAAUGGGGGAAACCCUGAUCUAGCCAUGCCGCGUGAGUGACGAAGGCCCUAGGGUCGUAAAGCUCUUUCAGCUGUGAAGAUAAUGACGGUAGCAGCAGAAGAAACCCCGGCUAACUCCGUGCCAGCAGCCGCGGUAAUACGGAGGGGGUUAGCGUUGUUCGGAAUUACUGGGCGUAAAGCGCGCGUAGGCGGAUUAGUUAGUCAGAGGUGAAAUCCCAGGGCUCAACCCUGGAACUGCCUUUGAUACUGCUAGUCUUGAGUUCGAGAGAGGUGAGUGGAAUUCCGAGUGUAGAGGUGAAAUUCGUAGAUAUUCGGAGGAACACCAGUGGCGAAGGCGGCUCACUGGCUCGAUACUGACGCUGAGGUGCGAAAGUGUGGGGAGCAAACAGGAUUAGAUACCCCCGUAGUCC
rnacentral:rRNA from 1 species